GAUUGAAUGCAUUAUCAUGGAUGCAUAGGCCCAUUCAAAGACAAUAUUUAAGAUUUGAUAGCAAGCAAAGUAAGAAAAUAUAGAAGGACAACAACUAUAAAUCCUUCUCAUUCGAAGGAAAACAACUGUAAAUCAUGGCAAACAGACUUGUUAUUUUGGAGGAGUGUUUUUGAGAGUCAAAUAAAAUCCAGAUUGCGUUUACGUAGCGCCUACUCCACGUGACUGGCGGUUUGGAAAAGUUGCUGUGAGGACCUGCUACUGCUCUUCCAUCGAGACAGCAGCUGUGGCGCGCUAGUAGUCCAGCACUGCGAGAGUUUGAGGCGCUCUGUCUUUCUUUGAAAUACGACUGUUGAACGAAAUUAGGCUACUUCUAAUGUCAAAAAAGGACAUGCUACCUUUUACUUUGAUUGGAUAAUAGGAACGACUUUGCAAGUGAAAGUUCAUGGACUCACGGUGAUAUCCUUUGAGGCUUUGACGCUUGAACCAGUCGCCUAAGAAGAAAGGAGAGCUGACGAACUCCUCUCCAUCUACCCUCUCUCUCUCUGCGACUCUCCCCCUCCCCCAAGAUGAGUGCCAAGUCAGCCAUCAACAAGGCGGUGUUCACGCCCCAUGAUGAGAAGAUGCUUGCAGCCGUGCAGGUGAAGAGGAGGACCAAGAAGAAGAUCCCCUUCCUGGCUACUGGAGGACAGGGAGACUACAUGACCUUCAUCUGCCUCUCAGUGACUAAUAAGAAGCCUUCCCAUGUGUCCAUCACCAAGGUGAAGCAGUUCCCAGGUUCAUCAUCCUUUGCCAAGAGGUCAAUGUGGACCAUCGACCAGCUGAGACAGGUCAACGGCUGUGACCCCAACAAAGACUGUCCAGAGUUUGACUUGGCAUUUGACAAUGCCUUUGACCAGUGGGUGGCUGGCUCGGCCGGCGAAAAGUGCACCUUUAUCCAGAUCCUCCACCACACCUGCCAGCGCUACAGCUCUCAGAGCAAGCCAGAAUUUGUCAACUGUCAGUCCAAACUGCUGGGAGGUAACAGUAUACUCCACUCUGCAGCAGACAGUGUGACCAGUGCUGUACAGAAGGCCAGCCAGGCUCUGAACGAGCGAGGGGAGCGGUUAAGCCGGGCGGAGGAGAAAACAGGGGAGAUGAAGAACAGUGCUGAGCAGUUCUCAGUCACCGCACACAAGGACUUCGUAACAAGGAAGAAGUUCUGUGUCAAGGUGACCUGGAGCAAGAAACCGCACUGCAGGUUCGGUUAGUCCGUCUCUGCAGUGUCUCCCACCUGCUUAGGCUCUGUGACAGUCCCAAUUGCAGCACUGUUGUGCUCUCACCAUCCCCACAGCACGGCUGUCUGUGCUGCAGCUCUGCUGCCCCCACCUGUUAGCUCUGGGGAUUUCAACCACCUCUAUUUUUAACUGUAGCUGGCCAUGAAGCACAAGUGUUAAACCAUUGCUAAGCCUUCGGGAGUAGGGGUCCGCCAAGAGCGCCAGACGCCAUUAAGGACGGAUUUCUGAUUUUAUUAUUCUUACAACUUUUAACAUGCUUACUCUUGUUAACAACGGUAACAUUUACAUUUUGUGUUGUUGUGUAGCUAGCUACCUUGUUUCUAAUGAAGAAUAUAUGAUGACGUUGAGGGGGGGGAGCUCAGACAGUUAAGAGCAAAAGUUUCACAGCUAACUCCUCUUUCACUGCCUCCAUUGCCCCCAAAGUACUCCAUGACUUUACGUAGGCAAACCAUGGAAAUGGUCACUGCCAUCCCCAACCUAGACAAACACACACACACACAUACAUUCCAGAUCCCCCCCCCAAAAGGAGCAACUCUUCAACUCCGCUGUCUCUCUCAAAGAAGUAACUUCAUAUAUAUACAGUGCUGAAAAAGGAGAAUUUAACAAGACAGAAGAGAUUGGAUGACGUGACACAUGAUGGCUAUUUCCUGUACUUGGAGACACCAAUGUACAUCCCUGUAUGUGAACAUUAACUUGUUAAAAAAUGUUAGAUCUCUUUUGCUAUUUGACUAUUUGGCAUCACACUGUUGUAAAGGCUCAUUGGUGCAUUCAUUCAUUGCAGACAUAAUACUAGCCAGAUGUGUGACGGACAUGUUGCUUCAAAAAACCUCCUGCUGGAAGACUAUAUUUCAACUAAGAUGGUAUGAAAUGUGCUGUUUUCCAACUAAAAAGUCUGAGUGACCAAGUGUUCAGGUGCAUGGUCUCUGUCAAAAGGUUGAAUGAACCCUACAGAGUAAAGACGAGCAUUUAGGCUUUACUUUUGGUAACAUUUCCAAAGGGUUAUUGAAGCAGUUGGUUGUAAGAACAAGAUCAGACUGUUUAUUGUAAGGUGAAAGACUAGAGUGCCAUUUGUAAAUUAGCUUCAACUGUUGUUAACAAGCUUAUAAACCUGUAAAUUCAUUCUACCACAAUCUCUGAAAAUAAUAUUUCCAUUCUAACUUGGUCACAUCUUGUAAUUCUUGUUUAAUUGGGGUUUAUGAAAUGUUUUCUGUAAAACAGCUGACUGACACGUCUUCACUAGCGGCAUUGUACGGUAUUGGUGUCCAUUCACUGACUGUGUAACCGUGGCUUCAUCACAAACAAGUAACCACCCACAGUGUGGGUAUGUUUAUUACUUUUAGAUUCUAUAUGUCUUGCUGUUACAGUGCACGGACAACCUUACCUUGCAGAGCACUGUUAAGUUCUUAAUGAAAUUCUCGUUGCCUCAACUUCUAGUCUGCUUUAGUCCUAACAUUUUGGAUAUUCAUUGUUUUUAAUAAAAAUAUGGAAACUAUGUAUAAUGGUUAUGAAAGUUUUUGGGGUUUUAGCUAGUGCAAGCCCCUUAGUUGGUCUCAGUGAAUACGUUAUUAUCCUUCACUUUUCAUAGGACCAGAUGAGGUCCCUAAACAAAGUGCAAUGGUUCUAUAUUGGUGCCUUUUUAAACGGUCUUUUAUUAGUUCUUCAACAGCAUGUGGUUUAACUUGAGCAGUCUGAUUGUGUUAUGACAACACUCGUGGUAACCCAGGCGAACAGUGCCUUGCCUUAUUGAUAACCAAAGGGAGAAAGUAAAGUAUGUUUUGUACCAGGUUUGAGAGAGGGUGUUGCUUAAGAUGUAUGGUGCUUGUUGGAAGUGAAUUGUAUGAGGAAUACAGAAGAAGAAAAGGCUGAAUAGGUGGUUAUUACAGAAUGAAUAGGUGGUUAUUACAGAACGAAUAGGUGGUUAUUACAGAACGAAUAGGUGGUUAUUACAGAAUGAAUAGGUGGUUAUUACAGAAUGAAUAGGUGGUUAUUACAGAAUGAAUAGGUGGUUAUUACAGAAUGAAUAGGUGGUUAUUACAGAAUGAAUAGGUGGUUAUUACAGAAUGAAUAGGUGGUUAUUACAGAAUGAAUAGGUGGUUAUUACAGAAUGAAUAGGUGGUUAUUACAGAAUGAAUAGGUGGUUAUUACAGAAUGAAUAGGUGGUUAUUACAGAAUGAAUAGGUGGUUAUUACAGAAUGAAUAGGUGGUUAUUAUAGAAUGAAUAGGUGGUUAUUAUAGAAUGAAUAGGUGGUUAUUACAGAAUGAAUAGGUGGUUAUUACAGAAUGAAUAGGUCGUUAUUACAGAAGGUCUCAAUACUAGUCAAAUCUAAUACAGACAAACACCAUUAUUUUCAAUUAAACAUAAAUGACCAAUAUGUUUUAGUUUGAAUGUAACAUAUUGAGUUAUUUCAAAACAUCCGUCUCGUUGUCUAUAUCAGAUUGCAUACCAUCUAAAUAAAUAGAAAUUGUCUCAAGUCUCUCUUUA